rnacentral:rRNA from 1 species
AACCAGCUCUUCAAGUGGUCGGGAUAAUUAUUGGGCUUAAAGUGUCCGUAGCCGGUUUAGUAAGUUCCUGGUAAAAUCGGGUAGCUUAACUAUCUAUAUGCUAGGAAUACUGCUAUACUAGAGGGCGGGAGAGGUCUGAGGUACUACAGGGGUAGGGGUGAAAUCUUAUAAUCCUUGUAGGACCACCAGUGGCGAAGGCGUCAGACUGGAACGCGCCUGACGGUGAGGGACGAAAGCCAGGGGAGCGAACCGGAUUAGAUACCCGGGUAGUCCUGGCCGUAAACGAUGCAUACUAGGUGAUGGCACGGCCAUGAGCCGUGUCAGUGCCGUAGGGAAACCGUUAAGUGUGCCGCCUGGGAAGUACGGUCGCAAGGCUAAAACUUAAAGGAAUUGGCGGGGGAGCACCACAAGGGGUGAAGCCUGCGGUUC